GCCUGGCUCUCCAAGCCACAGGACUCUAUGAGAAACAUGGCCACCAGCUGCUCGGGAACAAUUUAAAAUGGCACAGCAGCACAAACUACCAAAAUAAAAGGAACAGUUAAACGCUUAAAUGUUAAGAUAUAUACAGCCCUCAAUUAAGUAUGCCAUCUUUAAGAAAUAGGUGGAAGAAGACUAAAAACUGGUAUCAACACAAGAAAGAAGGCAAAUAGAAAGAGGUUGAUGCUUCAGCAGAAACAAGGAGAUAUAAGAACACUAAAGUACACAAUAGACGGCACCACUUCAGAGUGGAGGAAGCCAUUUUUAAAUGCUCCCCACAAUAAAAACUACCUGCAGAGAGAAAACUAGGCUAAGUUAAAUCUUUUUCCCUGAUGUGCUUGUUUUUUAUACAUGGUGGAGCAUUCAGACAUUGUAUUCUGUACCUGUAUGCUGAAAUGGAACAAUCCAUUAUACCACCUCACCUCAU